rnacentral:rRNA from 1 species
GACGAACGCUGGCGGCGUGCUUAACACAUGCAAGUCGAACGGAAAGGCCCUUCUUUUGUUGGUUGCUCGAGGGGCGAACGGGUGAGUAACACGUGAGUAGCCUUCCCUUUACUUUGGGAUAACUUCAGGAAACUGGGGCUAAUACCGGAUAGGAUCUCCUGCUGCAUGGGGGUGGUUGGAAAGUUUGGGCGGGUGGGGAUGGACUCGCGGCUUAUCAGCUUGUUGGUGGGGUAGUGGCUUACCAAGUCUUGGACGGGUAGCCGGCCUGGGAGGGUGCCCGGCAAAAUUGGGCCUGAGAUACGGCCCAGACCCUAACGGGAGGAAGAAGUGGGGAAUAUUGCACAAGGGGCGGAAGCCUGAUGAAGAAACGCCGCGUGCGGGAUGCCGGCCUUCGGGUUGAAACCCGCUUUAGCCUGUGACGAAGCGUGAGUGACGGUAAUGGGUAAAGAAGCACCGGCUAACUACGUG